GCCUGGAUGGCGGAAUUGGUAGACGCAAGGGACUUAAAAUCCCUCGGUGUUUAACACCGUGCCGGUUCGAUUCCGGCUCCAGGCACCA
rnacentral:tRNA from 1 species